UGGCUCAGUUGGUAGAGCAUGGUGUUUGCAACGCCAGGGUUGUGGAUUCAAUUCCCAC
rfam:Salmo salar isolate Sally breed double haploid chromosome ssa15, whole genome shotgun sequence.